CGGGGGAGUGGGGAGUCGCCAGGUGGUGCUGGCUCGAUCACUCAUCACUGAGGAGGAGAAAGGGAAGGGCAGGGAUGCCACCUGCUUCACGGCAACGCAAGACUUCUUUCUUCCAAUGGCCUCCGCCUUCAGACUAGCAGCCCAGGGGCAGAAGGCAGCACAGCUGAGCUGCAGAGAGGACCCUGGGGGGCGAGGGGGUCCCCUCGCUCCACCCACUUCCUCCCCGCUGGCCACUGUGGUCCUGAGAUGAGAGGCAGAGGUGACAAGAGGAUGGGCCCAUGCCCACCCAUGUCUGCCAUCCCUGGGGCUCCCCUGGGGCCCCCUGCUCUCGCUCUGCAUGGUGGGUGGCUGCUUCCUGGGGUUCUCAGGGCUGCGGACCACAAACACAGCCACCUCGAUGGCAAAAUAGUCAGUAAAGCAACACAGGCUCAGCCUCCGUCACACACACAGACCCACUGCGCGGUGUUUAGUCAGGACUCUGGAACCUGCAAGAUCCAGCUUUAAAUCUGAACUCCAGCAUUAACUCCUCGUGUGAACGAGAGCAAAAAUCAUGUAGUAUCUUUUUUCCCAUUUUUUUUAUUAUGGUAAAAUACACACAACAAAACUCA